rnacentral:rRNA from 1 species
UAGUCCACGCCGUAAACGAUGUCAACUAGCCGUUGGGUCCAUUUAAGGGCUUAGUGGCGCAGCUAACGCGAUAAGUUGACCGCCUGGGGAGUACGCCGGCAACGGUAAAACUCAAAUGAAUUGACGGGGGCCCGCACAAGCGGUGGAGCAUGUGGUUUAAUUCGAUGCAACGCGAAAAACCUUACCUACCCUUGACAUCCUCAGAACUUGUUAGAGAUAACUUGGUGCCUUCGGGAACUGAGUGACAGGUGCUGCAUGGCUGUCGUCAGCUCGUGUCGUGAGAUGUUGGGUUAAGUCCCGCAACGAGCGCAACCCUUGCCCUUAUUUGCCAGCGGAUUAUGCCGGGAACUCUAAGGGGACUGACGGUGACAAACCGUAGGAA